CCUAACCGCCGAAUGCGUUCGGAGCUGUACUGGAACCCAAGGAGAUGUUCACAAGGAAGAUGGAAAGUAAGCUGUGUAACAUCAGCAUUGGGAGCAAGAGCCACAAACCUCAUUUUCAAGUUGGGAAGAAACUCAGGACCCGAGAAGCUACAGGAUUCAGCCCAGUCACAGAGCUUGUUUAUUGCAGUAGGAUAUACAUACAGAAAUGUGCACAAGUCAUGACUAUAGCUCAAAGAAUUUUCACAAUGUGAAUAUAUUUUAUUUAAUCAUCAUCCAGAACAAUAAAUAUUACCAGUACCCCAGCAGCUCCCCUCGUGCCUCUCCCAGCGAUGCUUCUUCCUCUUCUCCAGAGGGAACGGCUCUCCUGACUUCUAAAACCACACAUUAAUCUUAUGUGACUUUGAACUCUACGUAAAUGGAAGCAGAUGGAAAGUACUGUUUUGGGGGUUCUUUGCUCAGCAUAAUUUUGGUGAUGUUCAUUCAUAUUGUUGUGUGUAGCAGCAAUUUGUGAUUUUUCAUUUAUGUAUAGUUUCCUUUGAAUGAAUAUGCAACUCAACUUUUUAUUCUGCUCUUGAUAUCUAAAUUGUUUCUGGUUUUUUAUUUUUUGAAUAAUGCUGCUGUGAACAUUUGCCUACACUCUCCCUCUCCAAGAUUGUUUGAUCACAUUCUUCUCAGCACUUAGUAUUGUCAGACUACUUAAAAUUAGUCAUUCUGGUGGGUAUAAAUUUGACUUUAAUUUGUGGCUUUAAUUUGCACUUUUAAAAAAUUUUACUUUAAAUUCUGGGAUACAUGUGCAGAACAUGCAGGUUUGUUACAUAGGUAUACAUUGCCCUGGUAGUUUGCUGCACCCAUCAACCCAUCAUCUAAGUUUUAAGCCCCGCAUGCAUUAGGUAUUUGUCCUAAAUGCUCUCCCUCCCCUGGCCUCCCAAAUACUGACAGGCCCCCAUGUGUGAUGUCCCCCUCCCUAUGCCUUCUCAUUGUUCAACUCCCACUUACAAGUGAGAACAUGUGGUGUUUGGUUUUCUGUUCUUGUAUUAGUUUGCUGAGAAUAAUGGCUUCCAGCUUCAUCCAUGUCCCUGCAAAGUAUAUGAACUCAUUCUUUUUAUGACUGCGUAGUAUUCCAUUGUGUAUAUGUGCCACAUUUUUCUUUACCUAGUUUAUCAUUGGUGGGCAUUGGGCUGGUUCCAAGUGUUUGCUACUGCAAAUAGUGCCACAAUAAACAUAUGUGUGCAUGUGUCUGUAUAGUAGAGUGAUUUAUAAUCCUUUGGGUAUGUACUCAGUAGUGGGAUUGGUGGGUCAAAUGGUAUUUUGUUCUAGAUCCUUGAGGAAUCGCCACACUCUCUUCCACAGUGGUUGAACUAAUUUACACUCCUACCAACAAUGUAAAAGCGUACCUAUUUCUCCAUAUCCUUGCAAGCAUCUGAUAUUUCCAGACUUUUUAAUGAUCACCAUUCUAACUGGUGUGAGAUGGUAUCUCAUUUUGGUUUUGAUUUGCAUUUCUCUAAUGACCAGUGAUGAUGAGCUUUUUUUCAUGUUUUUUGGCC
rnacentral:lncRNA from 10 species